UGAUCCACUGAGGUUUCCACAUGUGUAGU
rnacentral:piRNA from 2 species